rnacentral:lncRNA from 1 species
UAACAUUUAUCUAAAGCUUACUCGGUUUCAGGCAUCAUCUUAAACACUUUACAUUUUUAAACCCCUCACCAGGACUCUAAGAAACAGUUACAAUUAUUACAGAGACGAGAAAACUGAAGCACAGAGGAGUUCAGAAACCUGCUGAAAGUCAUACAGCCUAGAGAAAGCGACGGAGUAGAAUUCAAACUCAGGCUGUCUGGCUCCAGAGUCUGUAUUCGUAACAGCUAUGCUAUACUUCCUGUGAGAAGAGCAAGAUGAAACUAGAUGGAGGAAACACCAGAGACAGCCACAGGCAGUUACCAGAGGGUCAUGCUCUUUCCAUAGUCAGCAGCUGCAGUCCCUUGGCGUCUUGUCAGUAUCUGAGGCUGACCUUCCCCGGGAAAGUUUCAGGAUCUGUCAGCCUUUGUCUAAACUCCAACGGUGUGUCAAGAUCAUCCCAAGUGCACCUUCACAAUGACUCUGACUCUCAGAAGGCCUGGCUGAAACUUCAACUUCUAAAUGAAAGUACUUCUUCUAAAUGGUAAUACAUUCCCCAGCUCGCCCUGUGAGAGGCUUCUUUGGCAGGAUCCCAUGCGGGAGAGAACACCAAUGAAGACAAGUCAGCACCAUGACGACCUCCACAAAGACAAUGGCUCUCUGAUUCAUGCCUGAAAUAUUUGUUGUUGAUGGUGCAAAUAAAUGGUAAGGCUUCUGAAAAUGACUUUUCAGAAGAU